UUUAAGCAUUUUCGACUUAUGGCCAUUUUGACUUACAACCUGGAUUUGGGUCCCUAACCCUGUCGUCAGAAGGAGAGCAGCUGUAUGCAAUACAGGUAAAGAAAAGCUCCCUGUCCAGGCUGCGAAAAUGCCAGCAAAUUUAAAACUACCCUUAGACAUGCUUGGGUACAUCCAGUGUAUCAUCCGCAAGUAAUUGAGGUCUGCAAAUUUAAAAGGCAUGAUGUUUUAUUUUUAUUUUUUUACUUUGUUACACUUCAGUUAAAUAAACUUUUAUUGAAGUAAUUUUGAAGAAAGCUGCUUUGUACAUGUUUUAAUUUUUACAUAGUAACAGUGCAGUACUUUAUCUUAAGUAAUAUUUUCAGGUUCUUUCUCCAUCACUGCCUUAAGUGGACCUGAAUUGAGCUGGACCUGAUGUGAACUAGACUAAAGUGAGCUGGACCUCAGGUGAACUGGAACUAAAGUUAACUAAACCUGAUGUUACUGCACCUGCAAGUAAAGUAGACCUAAAGGACUAUCUGGUAUUUAUUUAAUAUUGUUCUGGAUAUUUAUGGUAAAGGUGUUUUUUGGCUUAUAACUUGCAUUGCUGGAAUCCUUGCAAGAUAGCAAUUAAAUUGAGUAUAAACAUCUCACAGUUUGCACUAGAGAUAAUUUUUUUUAGUCCUUUAGCCAAGUACAUUUGAGUACAGAGUGAGUACAGUUAUAUGUUGCUGAAAAUUAUGGCUUUUUCACAGGGAAACGUCUGUAUAACUAUCCCCAGUAGUUAGGAUAUUAUGUACUGUAUUUUGGGUGUUUUUUAUAUAAUUAUUUAUCGUUUUUAUACGUUUAGUACAUUUGCUGGAAGAUUCGGACAGCUGGUCCCUCCUUUUAGUCUUGAUCUUUGAGGGUUCACUGUAAUUGUCCACAGGGGGUUAAUAUUUGAAGUUGCCAACACCUAUUUAUGACUGUAUAUUGAGUCUUAUAUAGGGAGAGAAAAAAAAACAUUAUACAGUAAAGCAUUUUCUUUGGAAAUUUAUAUUUGUUGAGUAUUUUAACCUAUAAAAUUACCCACAAUAUUAACUGCUCAAAGUGGGCAGGGUGUUGAGGUAAAAUGUGAGUUAAAAUGAUCAAGAGAACACCAAACAAACAUGGAUUAAGGGCAGGAAAACACAGGCUGCUUGCUUCUUCUAUUGUCAUCCAGGUCCAAGUGACUCACACUCAUUACACAAUUUCCCAAUACAAUUAGGUUAUUUAACAGAUAGGUAAGUGAACAGGGCACCAUCUGAUUACUCUAGAAGUGAAAUGCAACGCCAUCUAGAAAGCAGAGGUCACUUCACUACAGUACAAUUGCGAUACUAGUAAACUGUUCCAUUGGCCUACUUGCCUCUGUGUGAAGAAAUAUUUCCAUAUGUUCAAUCUGCACGAUCACUUGGCAAGCUUAAAGUCAUGUCCUGUCGUGUUGGUGGUGCACCAUUUAUAGGGAUGUUAGGUAGGAGGCAGGGUUCCGUUUCUGUGUACCGUAAGCCUCGAAUAACGACGGUAAUGUGUGCUCCAAUAUUGCAGUGUAAGGUGAAUCGUUGUAUCGUGAAUCAUUAAUUACCAUUAAAAUAAAGCAAUAAUAAUGAGAUGCUUUCCCCGGUCUGACCUUUACAUAACUUUUGUGUGGCUUUUUACCCUCUUCCCCAAAAACAAUACAAUUAAUGAAAGUCACUAUAUUCUUUAAAUAAUGUUUAUGAAUGGUCCUUAUACAAUAUAAAUCAAUAUAAUAAGAUCACACAAGAGGAGAUGGGACGCUAUUGUUGUUGUCGUGUUUACACCUACAAUGUCAGUUAUCCGCCGGAAACAAAAAAUAAGACCCUGGUUGUUGUUAUAAUAAAAUUAAUGUAAAAAAAAAA
rnacentral:lncRNA from 1 species